UACGGGGGGAGCAAGCGUUGUUCGGAUCUACUGGGCGUAAAGGGCGCGUAGGCGGCCAGCACAAGUCAGUUGUGAAAUCUCCGGGCUUAACCCGGAAAGGUCAGCCGAUACUGCGGGGCUAGAGUGCAGAAGGGGCAACUGGAAUUCUCGGUGUAGCGGUGAAAUGCGUAGAUAUCGAGAGGAACACCUGCGGCGAAGGCGGGUUGCUGGGCUGACACUGACGCUGAUGCGCGAAAGCUAGGGGAGCGAACGGG
rnacentral:rRNA from 1 species